AACGCACAUUGCGCCCUCUGGUAUUCCGGAGGGCAUGCCUGUUCGAGCGUCAUUAAAACCACUCAAGCCGAGGUGCUUCCUCGCGCUUGGUCUUGGGGCCGGGGACUCUCAGACGAUUGUCCCCGUUCCGAAAUCGAUUGGCGGAUUGUCCGUGCCGACAGCGUGAUGAAGCAUUGCCGUUGGAAGCAUUGAUCAAUCCUGCCAUGAAACCCCCACAGUCCUUCUGUUUGACCUCGGAUCAGGUAGGGAUACCCGCUGAACUUAA
rnacentral:misc_RNA from 1 species